CACAAACCUCAUGAUCGCUUGGUUUAUAUAUAACUACUCUACUGCCCUGUGCUACCGGAAAAGUUAACGCACAUAACGGUAAUGGAGUUCCCGAAUCGCAUUUCCGGUUGCCGCUUGCGAGACUCUAUACACGGUCUCGUUUCGAGGAGUUGGGAGGCAAUGGUGGGAAAUAGAGGCAAGUUGAAGGAUUUUUACAUUCCGAAUUACAUACUUGUGGGCGGGGCGGUGCCGAAGAUCAAAUUUGCACCUGCGUGUCCGGUGAUAGUGUUUGUUAAUACUAGAAGUGGUGGUCAGCUUGGAGGUGAACUUGUUCUUACAUAUAGAGCCCUUCUCAAUGAGCACCAGGUAUUUGACUUGGGACAAACGGCUCCUGACAAGGUGCUUCACAAGCUCUAUGUUGCUUUGGAAACACUCAAGGGCAGAGGAGAUGUUUUGGCUGCUGAUAUCCAGAAGAGGUUAAGAAUAAUUGCUGCAGGUGGAGAUGGUACAGCUGGCUGGCUCCUCAGUGUAGUUUCUGAUCUUAAACUGCCUAACCCACCUCCAAUCGCCACGAUGCCAUUGGGAACUGGAAAUAAUGUCCAUUUCGCGUUUGGAUGGGGAAAGAAAAAUCCUGGGACAGACCGACAAUCUGUGCAGUAUUUCUUGAACCAAGUGAAGACAGCAAAGGAAAUGAAAAUUGACAGCUGGCACAUCAUUAUGAGAAUGAGGACUCCAAAGGAAGGUUCAUGUGAUCCUAUUGCACCUCUGGACCUACCGCAUUCUUUGCAUGCAUUUCAUCAGGUCUCCAAAACUGAUACACUCAAUCUGGAGGGCUUCCAGACAUUUCGUGGGGGAUUUUGGAACUACUUUAGCAUGGGAAUGGAUGCUCAAAUAUCAUAUGAUUUUCAUGCUCAGAGAAAGUUGCACGCUGAAAAGUUUAACAACCAGUUAAUUAAUCAAAGUACCUACUUCAAGCUUGGAUGUACUCAAGGAUGGUUCUUUGCUUCUCUAAUGCAUCCUUCUUCAAGGAAUAUAGCACAUCUGACAAAGAUUAAGAUCAUGAAAAGACAAGGUCAUUGGGAGGAGCUUCACAUAUCUCCCAGCAUUAGGUCUAUUGUUUGCCUCAAUUUACCGAGUUUUUCUGGUGGUCUUGAUCCAUGGGGGAAGCCAAAUAGAAAGAAACUGCGAUAUCGGGAUUUAACUCCUCCAUAUGUGGAUGAUGGCCUUCUUGAGAUUGUUGGCUUUAGAGAUGCCUGGCAUGGGCUUGCGUUACUUGCUCCUAAGGGACAUGGGACUCGUCUUGCACAAGCACACAGAAUACGUUUUGAGUUUUGCAAGGGCGCAGUCGACCAUACAUUCAUGAGAAUUGAUGGGGAACCAUGGAAACAACCUCUUCCAGUUGACGAUGACACGGUCGUUGUCGAAAUUUCUCACUUUGGCCAAUUAAGCAUGCUUGCCACGCCAUCGAAGCGAUCCAAAAGUAUAUCUGACCCUGCGUCACCAGCUAGCUCCCAUGAUGACGAUGAUGAUAGUAGUAAUGAGGAAGAAUAUCCAGAAGAUAGUGGAGAGAGAAGGAAGUUUGGUGCAUCUGACACAUUUAAAAUCCCGGACGGGAUUGACAUUGCUCAUUUCAGUUGAGCCUCUAACUAAUCACAUGCUCUCUGUGAAUAGGCCUCAGUUUGAUAUAUCACCGUCCGGACAGUCUGUACAAAAUAUUCUCUCCUUGCCUGUUCAGCAAAACUCUCUGGUAGUUAUCAGCAAUAGAAAGAGAGCUGUAUUGCUCAGUUUGGGAUUAAUAGCUUCAUCUUUUUAGUUCUUACUUCCUACUAAGCUCAGCCAGAUAAUGGGGGCAUGUAUUAGUCUAUAACUGCAUCACUGAGGUCAGGAGUUAUGCAUGCAUUACAUUGUGUCCUCACAAAGAUGGCUUAAUCUCCAUUAUCAGAUAAAGAGAUUCAAAAUUCGAUAACAAAGGAUGUAAUAGCAAAAUGUUAUGGUGGAAACACUAGAAGGAAAAGAGAAUGCCUAGAAAGCAGGCAAUAUUGAGAAAGGAGGUUCUGAAUAGCAGCAUAGGCUUUCCACUUCCUGCGAGGGUGGCCAUCCUUCACUUGGAAAGUCUUACAAGGCCUUCAGGAAGAGACACAUUGUGUGGAACAUACUUUGUGUACGGGCAGCUUUCUUUGGUGUGAUUAACCAUCGGACCACAAAGCCGACAGCAUUGAUGGUCAUCGUCGCUAUGACAAAGAUCACUCACAGCACCUGUACUCUUCUUACUGGUAGUACCACCACCGGCGUGAUUGAAUUCUACGGCGCCCCCUCGAGUUUUCCUCCUUUUAUAUGUAUCCCUGCACAUCCUUAUUAGCCAGAUCACCUAUUCUUAACUCUCCAUAGAGUUGUACCACCCUGAUUUUUACCUCCAUGAAUAUUGAUUUACUUGGAGUUUCCCUCCACCAUGAGGUCUCAUUGGUUAGCGGAAAGUAAAGUAAUUUCGUUGUC